AUCCACCUGACGAGUACCAAAUAGGACGAAGCACGCGUCUUGGAU
rnacentral:hammerhead_ribozyme from 1 species